UAGAUGAGUAGACUAACUGUCCAUUGUAGAAUAAUGAAGACUUUCCCCCUGAUUUGUAGCCCGUGCUAGACUGAACCAAUUGCCAACAUAAAGAAGCCCUGGGAAGAAGAUUUUGAGGACACCAGAUAAGACUUCAAUCUAAGACAGAGGGAUUUGUAUGGAAAUGCUUAGCCUCUUGCCAGAAGGAAAGGAAGUAGAAGUUUAAACAAAUGGAUCUGAAGCCUUUGGAGACGUGACUCCAAAGAACCCACUCACAGCUGAGAAUCAUUAAGAUGGCAUUCAUGUGACUUGAGAUUUUCCAUGUGUGAUGACUGCCUGUUUCAUCAAGUGACGUCAUUAGAGGCUGAAUCUACCUGUGCGCUGCAUGGCUGUGAUUUCACUACAACCAAGCUUUCCCUUGUGUGGGAAGGAAACACUAUGAACCUGCCGGGAGUUGCACAUCAGCCUCGAUUUCUCAGGAACCAGGAGCUCCAGCUUAUCAAGGACCUGAUGGUAGGUGGCCUGCAGUCCCCAGGUGCCGGGCACUGACAUCUCUGCAGAUGAGUGACUGUGGGCCACCAGGUGGGAGAGUGGCCGCGUGCUCGUCCCUGGCUGGCCAUGGAGAGCAGCUUGUCAUUUCCCACUGCCUUGCACCCUCCUCUCCUCCAGGGAGCUCUUUCUGUAGCU
rnacentral:lncRNA from 1 species